UUGCAAUAGACCUCAAACCUGAGGGGUUACUAUGUAAUUUACCCUAUUUUUUAUGAUCCAUCGAUCAUUUUCAAAUAUUAUGUCCCACCAAAAAUGGAAGUCUUAUGAUGUCUCUAACUGUCAUCAAUCUUCUAGAAUUCAAACUUUCAAAUGCAACGGCUACACUGUCACAAAAUGUCGCCUGACGAAAUAGACAACCGUUCUUCUUCCUUUUCAAACUUUUGGCUAAAGGAAUCAAACCAAAUCGACAAUAAUUAAUUAUUAUAAGGGACAGGUUUGUUUGCAGUGCUUGAUUAGAUUAAAAAAAAGCAAAAAAGACGAAAAAUUGAAAAAAAAAUAUAAGAAGAAGACAUUUAUCGUAUGCAGUGCUGGAAUCGUUUAACUUACACUUAUUUCUUUUCAUUUUCGUACCGAAUAAAUAAAUAAACAUAUUCACAAUUAUAAAAUAUAAUGAAUUUGAAGUAUUGUUCGUUUAAAAAGGGAAUUAGUUGGUAGUUUCGUUACGACAGUUCACCAUUUCGAGGGUUAGGAAGACACACAGAGGCAUUCCAGCCUCCCUUGGCCACCAUCAUGCGAUUCACUAGCGACAAGAAUCGAACCCAAUAAGUAUUGUGUGGAAUACGAACCUGAAAUUAGUCAUCUAACAAGACCAUUCCUAAGUGUAUUGUGAUUGUUCCAACUCCCAACUCCCAAACUGUAGAAAGUUGGACAUUCCUUCUUCCUAGAAUUCAAUGAAAAUGAAAAAAAAUAAAACUCACGAAAAUGAUUUGAAAACUUUGAAUUUUAACGAUAAGAACAAAAUAAAGAGUAAAGUGAAUAGUACCAUAAUUAACUUUUUAGUGUAAAAAUGUAAUUUUUCGUUAAAAUGAACAGUACCAGAGAUUUUUCAUUAAAGUUUCCAAUAAAAAAUUCAAAUGGGGCAAAGAAUACUUGUAACUUUUUCUUUGUAUUAUAGAUUUCUUUAGUGAGUUGGUGGCUUGGUGGCUGCAAGCCUGCAACCGGAAGAAUCCGUACAAGGGACCACUAAACAAUACAGACACAGAUUCCAUUGGAGUUAGCUGCCUGCAUUUAGAUUCUUUAUUCCAUGGCCAAUGGCCGAAUUGGGUGGGGAAAAAACCCAAAGGAAAACAAAGUUUAUGACUUUGUGGAUACAGUUCUUAUUUUCAAUCUAUUACGUCUUAAUUUUAUACAUUUUCUUUAUCUUCAUAUUUCAAAUGAAUUUAAUGAAAACUAUUUUACUGUUUGUAAGAAAAAAAUAGGGUGAAGUAUGAAUAACUACCCAACUUGAUUCCAUAUUGAUCCCAAUCUUUUAAAACAUUUCAAAUAAGACAUAAUGAGUAUUCCUUUUUACUCAUUAUGUCGCAAGCAUUAAGUGAUGGUUUGGACAAGUAUUGAAGGGAGGCUUAUGUCCCACAUUAUUUAUAGAGCUCUAAAUUUAUCCCUUUUAACUAGACAAAAUUAGUUAACGAAUUAGCAUUUUCAAAACGUUAGGUAAUUAUUUAAAAUGUUUCAAAAGGUAAAUGACUAAUCUCAAAACUUCAACUUCAAGGUUGAAAUACUAGAUGUGGCCUAUCACCUAUCGCAUUAUAAAGUUAACUUCGCCCAUUAAUUUCUAACUUAGUUAAUGUGUUAAUAUCAAUUUUAGUUAAUCAUAUCAAUGAGACCCUUCCAUGUUAUCAUCGAUGCAUUUUUAUCCGAAGCGAUAAACAUUUUACUGUAAGUAAAAAAAAAAAAAGAUUACAGAAAGGGUGUCAAAUUGGAUGCAUAUUUUCUAGUGAUCAAAUUUUCGAUUUGGAGAGGUGAUGUGAAAAAUAAGUUAA
rnacentral:lncRNA from 1 species